ensembl:lncRNA
AUCUAAUCAAGAGCAAAGGAUUCAGCAGCACAUCAACAAAACAGUGUUUGUGGGGGAAACGGUUACACUUCACUGCAACAAAACCCAACUUGAUGAAGAUUUCACAUGGAAAAUGAACAACUCGGUUAUUUUUAGGCAGGUCUCUUAUUUUAACAUAACUAAGACAAACUUCAGCUCAAACAGGAUUCACAUCGACCCCGCAGCUCCAAGAGAAUUAACAAUACAUCAAAUACAAGCGUCUGAUGCAGGAAACUACAGCUGCUACCCAGCAGCAAUAAGAUGGACAUUAACAAUAACAGAAAACACAACCAGACCAGAAUCACUCAAACAAAUGCCGCUGUACAUCAUCUUCUCAUGUUCUGGAGUCAUUAUGAUCUGUCUGAUCAUAACCAUCUUCGUUCACAGUAAACUGAAGCAGAUGAAGACAAACUCUGAUCUCUGUGAAACAGACCAGGAGGCAGAAAGUUUAUUUACCACAGAACAGGUGAAGAUGAUCUCUGACUGUGACAAACACACAGUAACAGCCUGUGUUUACAGGCUUCAUACAGUUUCAUAAACGUCUUUUCUUCUCAAGACAGUGGUGUGUGUGUGUGUCUGACACUCAUCAGAUCAUGAACAGGAAGAUGUCUGUCAGUCUUUUUUGUGGAUUAGAGAAUGAAACUGUCCCAAGAUUCAGUCUCUACAGCACGUCUGCAAGCCUUCGAGAUCCUGAGCGGAGAGUAAAACAGUUUACACUCCUUCACAGCCCUUAAACUGAGUGUCCUGUUAUGGCCAGUUUUCAGACCAGGAUUCUUCGUCUGCAUCUCUGUGUUGUUAUUAUUCUCCUGACUCAUGCAGAUUAUUCCAAAUCUAAUCAAGAGCAAAGGAUUCGGCAGCACAUCAACAAAACAGUGUUUGUGGGGGAAACAGUUACACUUCACUGCAACAAAACCCAACUUGAUGAUGAUUUCACAUGGAAAAUGAACAACUCGGUUAUUUUUAGGCAUGUCUCUGAUAUUAACAUAACUAAGACAAACUUCAUCUCCAACAGGAUUCACAUCGACCCCGCAGCUCCAAGAGAAUUAACAAUACAUCAAAUACAAGCGUCUGAUGCAGGAAACUACAGCUGCUACCCAGCAGCAAUAAGAUGGACAUUAACAAUAACAGAUAUCCAGAUCAGACCAGAAUCACUCAAACAAAUGUCGCUGAACAUCAUCAUCAUUAUCAUCUCAUGUUCUGGAGUCAUUAUGGUCUGUUUUAUCAUCACCAUCAGCAUCUGCAUUCACAGGAAACAGAAGACACAAGAUCAACUCCGGUUCAGAGGAUUUAAGUCUCUACAGCACGUCUGCAUGAUCUUGAGCAGUUUAAGCUCCUUCACAGCUCUGUUAUGGCGAAUGUUCAAACCAGGAUUCUUCAUCUGGAUCUCUCUAUCAUCAUUAUUUUCCUGAUUCAUGCAGAUUAUUCAAAAUCUAAUCAAGAGCAAAGGAUUCAGCAGCACAUCAACAAAACAGUGUUUGUGGGGGAAACAGUUACACUUCACUGCAACAAAACCCAACUUGAUGAUGAUUUCACAUGGAAAAUGAACAACUCUGUUAUUUUUAGGCAGGUCUCUUAUUUUAACAUAACUAAGACAAACUUCAGCUCAAACAGGAUUCACAUCGACCCCGCAGCUCCAAGAGAAUUAACAAUACAUCAAAUACAAGCGUCUGAUGCAGGAAACUACAGCUGUUACCCAGCAGCAAUAAGAUGGACAUUAACAAUAACAGAAAACACAACCAGACCAGAAUCACUCAAACAAAUGCCGCUGUACAUCAUCUACUCAUGUUCUGGAGUCAUUAUGAUCUGUCUGAUCAUAACCAUAUGCAUUCACAGUAAACUGAAGCAGAUGAAGACAAACUCUGAUCUCUGUGAAACAGACCAGGAGGCAGAAAGUUUAUUUACCACAGAACAGGUGAAGAUGAUCUCUGACUGUGACAAACACACAGUAACAGCCUGUGUCUACAGUCUUCAUACAGUUUCAUAAACGUCUUUUCUUCUCAAGACAGUGGUGUUGGUGUGUGUGUGUGUCUGACACUCAUCAGAUCAUGAACAGGAAGAUGUCUGUCAGUCUUUUUUGUGGAUUAGAGAAUGAAACUGUCCCAAGAGUAUGUCGCAGAGGAUCUUUAUUUACACAUUUUCAGAAAGAGUAAUACUUUUUACACUUGGAAAAUUUAAUAUUUAAAAAUUUAACAUGCCUAACUAGAUACUA